rnacentral:rRNA from 1 species
UGUCAGAACGAACGCUGGCGGCGUGCUUAACACAUGCAAGUCGAACGCGAAAGGGACUUCGGUCCUGAGUAAAGUAGGCGCACGGGUGAGUAACGCGUAGAUAACCUGUCUUCAUGUCUGGAAUAAUACGCCAAAGGGGUACUAAUACCGGAUAUUCUUGCUUUUCAUAAGUUAUGCAAGCAAAGGUGGCCUCUGCAUAUGCUACUGCAUGAAGAGGGGUCUGCGUACCAUUAGCUAGUAGGUGGGGUAAUGGCCUACCUAGGCGACGAUGGUUAGCGGGUCUGAGAGGAUGAUCCGCCACACUGGCACUGGAACACGGGCCAGACUCCUACGGGAGGCAGCAGUGAGGAAUAUUGCGCAAUGGGGGAAACCCUGACGCAGCGACGCCGCGUGAGUGAGGAAGGCCUUCGGGUCGUAAAGCUCUGUCAAGGGGAAAGAAGUGUACAAUGGCUAAUACCUGUUGUAUUUGACGGUACCUCUAAAGGAAGCACCGGCUAACUCCGUGCCAGCCGCUGC